UCUACAUCCUCCCUUCGUUAGCCGCUCUCUCUCCUGCCCCUCUCCCUCUCUUUGAUAACGCCAAAGCCGAUUCUCUCCCCUGCCCCUCUCCCUCUUUCUUCGAUAACGCUCAAAUCUCUUUACCAUCUCCCUCUCUCUUUGAUAACGCCCAAAUCCCUUCGGCCUCCUCGCUUCAUUCUCCUCUGUUUCUCAAUGACAGCGAACUCUCUAAAUUCAUCCUUAGUUCUACGAUCGACCUCCUCACAUCAAUUCCUUCCAUUUUCAACCGUUGGCAAUGUCCGCAUCCUUCCCUCAUUAUCGUACGUUACUAUAAUUGGUAGUAAUUGCUAGGGCUUUCCAAUCCAUAGCAAUUAUUUUGUGACUCUAUAAAUAUGUUCUACUUCAAUUUUGAUGGAGCAAAUAAGGUUUUUGUUUCCAAUUGUGUAUGGGAUUGAUAGGAAGUGUAGAAAGCUAUCAAGAACCGUUUCAUUGUUGUUGGAUCAAGGACUCAAAGCUCAUGAAUGUUGUCUCUUCCACCGACUCUCUAUUGAUUCAACAAUAUGUAUAAAGAUUAAGAACAACCAACAAGGAAAACAAGGGGCCAUUUGGAUCCAGCUUACAUAAUAAAGAAGACAUAGCACUUCAAACGAAGCCGUACAUGAAAGCCUCCUCACAUGCAACUCAUGCCAUUGGGGUUAGCUCAGUGCAUUGCUAGCACAUUUGUUGUUUGAUUUCCAUCAAGUUGUAGAUGGGCUACGAGAAGCUGAACUUGUAAACUCAUUCAUCGGACUACCAAGAGAGGAAUCGGGCCUUGCUAUUCAAGCAAGACUAUCCGUAAUGGGAUCAGAGUUUGUGAUCUGAGGCAUAUGAAUACCUUUCAUGAUAAACUUGAGAUUCCGCUGAACGAUGCAACUUUAAGGUUCUGAGGUUUUAAAUAUAGCAAUGAGGUUUGCAGAAAGACUUGAGCCUUACAUUGCAGACACUGUUCAUGUUAUGAAUGAAUCCAUUACUCAGAAGAAGAAAAUAUUGGUAGAAGGUGGACAUGCCACCAGAUUGUUCAGAAGUUCUUGUAGAAUGUUCCGCAUGAUUCAUGUGAUCUUUGAUUCCUUCAUUUUGAUCAGAGUGUGAUAUUGUUUCCUUGCUGCCUUGAAGUUUUAAAGAAAUAACCGCUUCGAUUGUUUUUUCAGGUGCAGCUGUUUUUUUUUUUGAAAUUGAUUACAACAUUAUGCUGCAAAUUUUCUUGACAAGGAUACUCCAGGCCUCGACUCUCACUCGAUGCAGUAUCUGUGAUUGGACUCCUCUCAUGAUGAUUCUCUAGGGAAACCUGAGUGCUCUUCCUAUUUUCUUCAAAUGUGAAUUUGUCAGGGGAUGCAACAGAUGUUUGAUGUUCAUUAGUCUCUAAAUUUGCACUAACAGAUGAUUUAGAAUAUAUACUUUUUUAUAUAUAGAAAUGAAAGUUUCUUUAUAUAUUCAAGAGAAAGCUUUGCG